UACGAAGGGGGCUAGCGUUGCUCGGAAUCACUGGGCGUAAAGCGCACGUAGGCGGACUCUUAAGUCGGUGGUGAAAUCCUGGAGCUCAACUCCAGAACUGCCUUCGAUACUGAGAGUCUCGGUCCGGGAGAGGUGAGUGGAACUGCGAGUGUAGAGGUGAAAUUCGUAGAUAUUCGCAAGAACACCAGUGGCGAAGGCGGCUCACUGGCCCGGUACUGACGCUGAGGUGCGAAAGCGUGGGGAGCAAACAGG
rnacentral:rRNA from 1 species